rnacentral:misc_RNA from 1 species
UGGAAAUUUCAGUUUAUCACGUAGCAGAUAAAAAAGCUUCCUCUUCCACUUACUAGUUGCUGGGGAUAACUGAAACCUCAGUUCAUCAUCAUCGUCAUCCUCAAAUUCAUCACGAAAAUGCCUAGGAGGUGGCUUUGGUUUGACAGCUACUAUUAGUGAAUCUCCGUUGUUGAGUUGGACUACUUCGUCAUCUCCAUUUUCACUAUCAUGCAAUACACGUCCUUGCAGAACAAGUCUUAAAUUUUCAAUAGGCAUAUGUCGAUUCCCAGCAAUCAUAUUUCUCAAUUCAUGUACCUUGAUGGAAGAAGGAACAUUAAGGCGACAAGGAGGAGAAGGACCGAUGAUUUUCAGAAAGAUUUCUACCAUCUUCUUCUCUUCAAUUUCAUCCAUG